rnacentral:lncRNA from 1 species
GGCCGGAAGUCAUGGUCCGCAGCCGAAGGCCCUAAUUCCGCGGCAGUUGUGGCGGUUACGGCGGUUCUGUACCCAGCAUACGAAUGGAGGCGGCCCAGGAUCACGGGCCGGGGUUGUGCUGCAAGCCCGGCGGGCGUCUGGACAUGAGCCACGGCUUCGUACACCACAUCCGUCGGAACCAGCUCGAUCGGUACCGCCCCGCCCCAGGCCCGGCCCGGCCCGAUUCGGCCGGGUGACAGCGCCUGACUCCCGCUCGGCUCCCCGCAGGGACGACUACGACAAGAAGGUGAAGCAGGCGGCCAAGGAGAAGGCGAGGAGGCGCCACACGCCCGCGCCCACGCGGCCCCGCAAGCCAGACCUACAAGUGUACCUGCCGCGCCACCGAGAUGGCUCCACCCACCCCGUGAACCCAGACUGUGAGGAAGCCAGUGAAAGCAGCAGUAGUGGAAGCUCCGAGCUAGAGCCUCCUGGCCGCCAGCUCUUCUGUUUAGACUAUGAGGCGGACAGUGGCGAGGUCACUUCAGUUAUUGUCUAUCAGGUACGCCUUUUGGAAACAGCUGCAGCGUGACCGUCCUGGGCCAUGACGGAAACUACCACCAGUUCCUGAACCGCUGUUAAUCUCAGGGCCAGUGGGAAAAUAUGUCUUCCCAGCAGAUAGUCUCAGCACAUAGAGAUUCCUAGUUGGGGGAACAGGGAAAACUUGUGACCCUCAGUUGAGAAUCACUGUUACAGGGGACUCCUGAGAAACAGAAGCCUUAAGCCAAACAGUUCUGUGAGCGUGCUGUCUAGGAACAGAGCAGCACUUGUUUGAGGGAGAACCAGGCUCUGAGCUUCCUGACUCUUCCUCCACGUAGGACGAUGAUCCUGGAAGGGUGAGUGAGGCAGUAUCAGCACACACACCUCUGGAUCCAGCCAUGCGGGAGGCCCUCAGAUCGCGAAUCCAGGAGGAACUUGCAAAACGCCAGAGCCGGCACUGACGGGGCGGAGGCAGGAUUCACUGCACUUGGCAGAAUUUUGCCCAAGGAGCUCACCCCUAGUUUGGGGGGUGUCAGGAUGAGUCCAUGUGAUCUUCAGGGAGCCUGUCCUCCUUCUCUAAGCUGCUGUAUCCACAAAGGUCUUGCAGGACCACAUCUGACCUGUCUCUCAGCAGCCAUUUUUCUUGUCUCAUUCAUCUAACCUAACAUUCUGGAAUUUUAUGACAGCUUUGGCUAACUUGGUGUUUUGGGAGCAGAGACUUUAGGGAGAGCCAGGCUUUCUGAAGCUUUUGCCUGUGUGGUGCUGUCUUGAUGAGGUCGUUUGUCAGGCCCCUUCAUGUUUCUGCUUUCUUCCACUCAUCUUUGCCUAGGCCUGUUUUCAGCUGUCACUUUUCCUUUCUCCUAUCUUUUUGCCUUAGGUAGAAUCUAUGUCCCCCACCCCCAGCAUGACUGUUUCUCUGCCACUCAGGAAUUUAGCAUGGGACUUCUGGGAGCCUGCCUUCCUAACAAGGUCUCCAAGUACUUCUGAUGCCAAUAAACAGGAGAGCUUUGGUUUUGAGGCCUCUUUGGAAGCACAUGUCCUUCCCCUUUUGUGGCUUGCCCAAGCUCCUCAUAGGCCUCACUGCUUAAAACUGUCUACGUAGGAGACCCAGGAAGAAGAUGCUGAGCUAAGCUGCAGUCCUUAGUUGAAAAACCUGUCCUGCUACUCGUGGUGGCACAUGCCUUUAGUCCCAGUACUCAGGACUCAGGAGGUAGAGAUGGGUAGAUCUCUGUGAGUUCAAAGCCAGCCUGGUCAUAUCAACACAUCUAGUUCCAGGACAGACAGUGGUUGAGAGAGCCUAUCUCAAAAC